GCACUGGUAGUUCAGUGAUAGAAUUUUCACCUUCCAUAUGGGAGACCCAGGUUCAAUUUCUGGCCAAUACA
rnacentral:tRNA from 1 species